rnacentral:rRNA from 1 species
GGUUGCGAUCAUACCAGCACUAAUGCACCGGAUCCCAUCAGAACUCCGCAUGCUUGGGCGAGAGUAGUACUAGGAUGGGUGACCCCCUGGGAAGUCCUCGUGUUGCAACCC